AUUCUGUAGCAAGGUUAACCGAAUAGGGGAGCCGGAGGGAAACCGAGUCUUAACCGGGCGUUAAGUUGCAGGGUAUAGACCCGAAACCCGGUGAUCUAGCCAUGGGCAGGUUGAAGGUUGGGUAACACUAACUGGAGGACCGAACCGACUAAUGUUGAAAAAUUAGCGGAUGACCUGUGGCUGGGGGUGAAAGGCCAAUCAAACCGGGAGAUAGCUGGUUCUCCCCGAAAGCUAUUUAGGUAGCGCCUCGUGAAUUCAUCUCCGGGGGUAGAGCACUGUUUCGGCUAGGGGGCCAUCCCGGCUUACCAACCCGAUGCAAACUGCGAAUACCGGAGAAUGUUAUCACGGGAGACACACGGCGGGUGCUAACGUCCGUCGUGAAGAGGGAAACAACCCAGACCGCCAGCUAAGGUCCCAAAGUCAUGGUUAAGUGGGAAACGAUGUGGGAAGGCCCAGACAGCCAGGAUGUUGGCUUAGAAGCAGCCAUCAUUUAAAGAAAGCGUAAUAGCUCACUGGUCGAGUCGGCCUGCGCGGAAGAUGUAACGGGGCUAAACCAUGCACCGAAGCUGCGGCAGCGACACUCAGGUGUUGUUGGGUAGGGGAGCGUUCUGUAAGCCUGCGAAGGUGGCCUGUGAGGGUUGCUGGAGGUAUCAGAAGUGCGAAUGCUGACAUAAGUAACGAUAAAGCGGGUGAAAAGCCCGCUCGCCGGAAGACCAAGGGUUCCUGUCCAACGUUAAUCGGGGCAGGGUGAGUCGACCCCUAAGGCGAGGCCGAAAGGCGUAGUCGAUGGGAAACGGGUUAAUAUUCCCGUACUUGGUGUUACUGCGAAGGGGGGACGGAGAAGGCUAUGUUGGCCGGGCGACGGUUGUCCCGGUUUAAGCGUGUAGGUGUGUGUUCCAGGUAAAUCCGGUUCACUUUAACACUGAGGCGUGACGACGAGGCACUACGGUGCUGAAGCAACAAAUGCCCUGCUUCCAGGAAAAGCCUCUAAGCAUCAGGUAACAUCAAAUCGUACCCCAAACCGACACAGGUGGUCAGGUAGAGAAUACCAAGGCGCUUGAGAGAACUCGGGUGAAGGAACUAGGCAAAAUGGUGCCGUAACU
rnacentral:rRNA from 1 species